GGGUUUCACCAUGUUGCUCAGGGUGGUCUUGAACUCCUGGACUCAAGUGAUCCACUCCCUUCAGCCUACCCAGGUGCUGGGAUUACAGGCCGUUGAGUUCAGCUUAUGGUGAUGGAAAGAGAGAUGUCAAUAAUUCCACAUUUUCUGGCUUGCAUUGUUUGAUGAAAGGUGACCCCAUUCCCUGAGUUAAAGAAUGCUGAAAGAAGACCAGGCUUGAGGAGGAAGGAUCAUGCAUUUGCUUUUGGACCUGUAGAGUUUGAGGACAUGUUCAGCACCAGGAGGAAUUUGCAUCCAAGUCCGUCUCCCUGCUAAGUGGUAUUUUGAGAAUUCCGAAGCUUAGUCUCAGAGAAGAGCUGACCUGAACUUGCCGAGGCUCCCACUGCAUUGUAGCUUUUCUCUGGAGAACAAAAACUGCCAUUGUCCAGCAGCUCAUUAGCAUGACUGUACAGCCUCCGGAGUUAGCAAGGUGAUGCAAAAAUAAUAUGACAAGAUCCAUGUCUUCAAUGAGCUACAAUCCUACUGGGACAUGAGACUGUGCUUAUAAUAUGAUGAAAGAAUAAGAAAAUUUUAAAGCUAUAACAGGCAGAGCACAAGAACAAGCAGAGCUAUAACAAGCAGAGCACAAGAAGGAAGAGUGCAGAUCCAGGACUGGGACACUUAACCAAUAAUAAUACAAAUAAUGAAAACACAGCAGCAACAGGUGCCAUUUUGGAAGCAAGAAGCAGAGAACAAGCUCUCACUGGGCAUUAAAUCUGCCGGCAUCUUGAUCUUGAACUUCUCAACCUCCAGAACUCUGAGAAAUAAAUUUCUAUUAUUUACAAAUUACCCAGUCUAAGGUGUUUUGUUAUAGCAGCUCAAACAAAUUAAGAUAUCUGUUUAUUGCUUUUGGUAUGUGUUUGUGUUUUAAUUUUCUUGGAAGGUAGAGCAGAGAGACAAAAAUCACCAAAUUUUGGUGACAUGGUUGAAGCUCUGGGUCAAACCAAUCUUUGAGUCCAGCCUCUGAACCUCGCAUUAAAGUCCUUUAUAGUUUAGAUUGGUUAGGAUUAGGUCUCUUGAUGUUUGUUUUCACCUUGAGGGUUCCUAACUGCUACGGGGAGUCAGUGUGAUUUAACUCUAAGUGAAGAAGAACAGUUUAGAGGGAUGAUCCUGCACAUCUGCAUGGUGAUUGAAUUUAUGUCUCCUAUAAUUGUAUAUACAAAAUGAAAGUUUGGACUCUACAGGACAGGAGACUUUCCCCAACUUCUACCCUCCUUUAUCUUUUGCUGAUUAGUAUUGCAACAGGCACCUAACCAAACUCUCUGGCUCUGGGCCUGUGCUGUGUCUUCUAAUCUUCACACAGCUGCCAGCAUUAUCUUUAAAAGACAGAUCUUAUUAUUUUACACACAAAACAGACACACAUCUCCAUGCAGCAUCUGCUUAAAGUGUUUCUGUGGUUCCUGAUUGCUGACUGGAUUUCACUCAACUUUUUAGCAUGGCCCACAUGGAGCUACCUCUGCCCCACCUUUUCAGUUUCAACUCUUAGGACCCUCUCCUACAAACAUUGGGGUUCACUGUACCCUGAACAUGUGAUAGUCUUGCGUGUCUCCAAGCCUUUGCAUCUGCUAUUCCCCAUGCAUGCAAGGUCUUGCUCUUACUUUCUGUACAGGAGAACUCCUCUUCACCUUUGAAAACCCUCAACUCAAAUACCAAUUGGUUAAGACAUAUUUCUUGAUGUCCCCUGACAGAACCACUAGGAUGUGUAUGACUUAUUAUAGGAAUUUGACAUUUCACAACUGUGGGCGCUAGUUAGUUGGUAAACAGCCUUUGGGAGGUUGUUGUGUUUAUCUUGAAGGCAGGAAGUUGAAAAGGGAAAAUGGAAAAGAAGAACAAAUUGGGACCUGAAUGGUGCCUAUGAGGAUGAACUGGAACCCGUGUUGGUCUGGAACCUUGGUUGGAAAUCCAAGCUUUCAACUUUAAUGAUGCGGAUGUUCUGCAAGAGAAGCUGGUGCACUUUUUCAUGCUUGAUAUGCACCUGGCCCAGGAGUCAGAGAAGCUGAAAAACGAUCCAGCAGGAGCUGGAGUCUGUGUGGGCCUUGUUGUUGCACCACCGUCCGCCUCCAGGCAAGACAACUG
rnacentral:lncRNA from 10 species